rnacentral:lncRNA from 1 species
UCCAAUUCAUCCAUGACAAACCUAAAGAACAAAAUGAAAAUGAAGACACAUGUUAGUUUAUAAGUUUGAAGGAAAUGGCAUCAUAUGAGAUAUGCUACUAGUAUAUGCAUUACUUUAUGCUUAAGUUAAAUGUUUAGUUGUGUCAAUUCCAAAUAGCCUAUGCAAGUAAAGAAGUAACAUGUGCAACUAGAAUUGAACCAUCUGAUAUAAUAUAUAAUUUAUAGAUAUGGAAUGUAACAGUUGGUCUGAUGGAAUGAAAAGCGAAUAGUAUAUUACUUCUGAUAUGAUUCUUCAGAAAUAGCAGAGGAAUGGAAUGACACAUAACGAGUCUGUAAAACUAAAUUUUCCAUUUCAAAUAGCACAUGCUCCAUAAGAUAUUCCAUUUCACACAGAACUAAACUUGUUUUAUCGCAAAAGAGACUUUUCAUUCCAAAAUCACUAUCCCCCCUUCGUAGUGAGAAAAUUUUAACCCUAAAUCAAUUGUUUUACCUCAGUUUACCAGAUCGGGUAUGCAACAGAAACAAUAAGCUAGAUUUAUCAACUUAGAAUACAGUAGGCCCGAAUCUAUUCCAACUAGGAGAGCUAACAUAGAAAUAAUAGAAUCUAUGGCACAAACAGAGAACUUACAUAGAAAUAAUAGAAUCUAUGGCACAAUGAUACAGCGUUGUGAAAGAUCUGAGAAAGCAGAUACUCUGUGAAGUUGGAGAUGCCGGCGGUGUUAGUCCUCUCCGCCGAAACUGUCGCGCAAAACCGAACCACGGACGUCCGUAAAGCCGAAGUCGAUUAAAAGGGAAGACGACGAAGAUGAAAGGUUGAUUGCUGUGAGAAGGGAGCCGUAUGAGGAGAUAAGCACCAGGGUCCUUUGGAAUUCCUGAAACAACCGAUGAAGAAAGGGAGAAGGAGAAGACACGAUUCACUUUGGGCAAUAAUUUUUUUUAUUUUUUUAUUUAUCUUGUAGCAGGUUACCCGGUUAAUUGGAAAGGGCAUCAUAGUAUUAUUAUGUAUAUAUGACGCCGUCUAUACAUCCGUUAGGUAAAAACGUUAGUGUGUGAAUUACUCUUUUUUUCAUAGCUAUAGCCCCCAAUUUCCCUAAUUUUAACAUAAGAUCAGAAACCUAUUUAUUAAUUAGUCCAUUGACUGAACAAAAUUUUGUUGAUAUAUUAAAAAGUUG